UGGGGAAUCUUCCGCAAUGGACGAAAGUCUGACGGAGCAACGCCGCGUGAGUGAAGAAGGUUUUCGGAUCGUAAAACUCUGUCUUUUGGGGCGAACGUGAGUAUGGUGAACAAUCAUAGUCAGUGACGGUACCAAAGGAGGAAGCCACGGCUAACUACGUGCCAGCAGCCGCGGUAAUACGUAGGUGGCAAGCGUUGUCCGGAAUUAUUGGGCGUAAAGAGCGCGUAGGCGGGAUAGUCAGUCUGUUGUAAAAGUGCGGGGCUCAACCCCGUGAUGGCAAUGGAAACAGCUAUUCUUGAGUGCAGGAGAGGAAAGUGGAAUUCCCAGUGUAGCGGUGAAAUGCGUAGAUAUUGGGAGGAACACCAGUGGCGAAGGCGACUUUCUGGACUGUGUCUGACGCUGAGGCGCGAAAGCCAGAGGAGCGAACGGGAUUAGAUACCCCGGUAGUCCUGGCCGUAAACGAUGGGUACUAGGUGUGGGAGGUAUCGACCCCUUCCGUGCCGGAGUUAACGCAAUAAGUACCCCGCCUGGGGAGUACGGUCGCAAGACUGAAACUUAAAUGAAUUGACGGGGUCAUAGCUGUUUCC
rnacentral:rRNA from 1 species